rnacentral:rRNA from 1 species
UACAGAGGGUGCAAGCGUUAAUCGGAUUUACUGGGCGUAAAGCGCGCGUAGGCGGCUAAUUAAGUCAAAUGUGAAAUCCCCGAGCUUAACUUGGGAAUUGCAUUCGAUACUGGUUAGCUAGAGUGUGGGAGAGGAUGGUAGAAUUCCGAGGUGUAGCGGUAGAAAUGCGUAGAGAUCUGGAGGAAUACCGAUGGCGAAGGCAGCCAUCUGGCCUAACACUGACGCUGAGGUGCGAAAGCAUGGGGAGCAAACAGG